GGCGGGGUAGCUCAGCUGGUUAGAGCACGCGCUUCAUAAGCGCGGGGUCGACGGUUCAAGCCCGUCCCCCGCUA
rnacentral:tRNA from 1 species